rnacentral:rRNA from 1 species
GUAGGUGGCAAGCGUUGUCCGGAAUUAUUGGGCGUAAAGCGCGCGCAGGCGGUUCUUUAAGUCUGAUGUGAAAGCCCACGGCUCAACCGUGGAGGGUCAUUGGAAACUGGAGAACUUGAGUACAGAAGAGGAAAGCGGAAUUCCACGUGUAGCGGUGAAAUGCGUAGAGAUGUGGAGGAACACCAGUGGCGAAGGCGGCUUUCUGGUCUGUAACUGACGCUGAGGCGCGAAAGCGUGGGGAGCAAACAGGGAUUAGAUACCCUGGUAGUCCACGCCGUAAACGAUGAGUGCUAAGUGUUAGGGGGUUUCCGCCCCCUUAGGGCUGCAGCUAACGCAUUAAGCACUCCGCCUGGGGAGUACGGCCGCAAGGCUG